rnacentral:rRNA from 1 species
GAUGAACGCUGGCGGCGUGCCUAAUACAUGCAAGUCGAGCGAACAGAUAAGGAGCUUGCUCCUUUGACGUUAGCGGCGGACGGGUGAGUAACACGUGGAUAACCUACCUAUAAGACUGGGAUAACUUCGGGAAACCGGAGCUAAUACCGGAUAACAUAUUGAACCGCAUGGUUCAAUAGUGAAAGGCGGCUUUGCUGUCACUUAUAGAUGGAUCCGCGCCGUAUUAGCUAGUUGGUAAGGUAACGGCUUACCAAGGCAACGAUACGUAGCCGACCUGAGAGGGUGAUCGGCCACACUGGAACUGAGACACGGUCCAGACUCCUACGGGAGGCAGCAGUAGGGAAUCUUCCGCAAUGGGCGAAAGCCUGACGGAGCAACGCCGCGUGAGUGAUGAAGGUCUUCGGAUCGUAAAACUCUGUUAUCAGGGAAGAACAAAUGUGUAAGUAACUGUGCACAUCUUGACGGCACCUGAUCAGAAAGCCACGGCUAACUACGUG